rnacentral:misc_RNA from 1 species
CGAAAGGGCAAGCCUCGUCAUUUUGUCUACCCCAUGCCUUUCCUUUAACUUCGCCCACCCUUCAAAAGACCAGCAAGCGGGAGACGUUGAUGUAGGCUUAGUCAGAGGGAUAUGGAGAUUGGAGAGCGAUAGUUUGCCAGAGAGAGCUUUUCCUUUUUGGUGGAUUGAUAGUGCGUUGAUGCUAAAGUGUGAAGGAUAGAUAAGAGAAAAAAAAUGACGGGGAUGGUGAAAGAACAGAAUCUGGAGGAGCAAAUAGAGAAGCAAAUGGGGUGCAUGGC